rnacentral:rRNA from 1 species
CCUACGGGGUGCAGCAGUGAGGAAUAUUGGUCAAUGGACGGAAGUCUGAACCAGCCAUGCCGCGUGCAGGAAGACGGCUCUAUGAGUUGUAAACUGCUUUUGUACAAGGGUAAACCUGAAUACGUGUAUUCCGCUGAAAGUACUGUACGAAUAAGGAUCGGCUAACUCCGUGCCAGUAGCCGCGGUAAUACGGAGGAUCCAAGCGUUAUCCUGAUUUAUUGGGUUUAAAGGGUGCGUAGGCGGAUUGAUAAGUUAGAGGUGAAAUGUCCGAGCUCAACUCGGGAACUGCCUCUAAUACUGUUGAUCUAGAGAGUAGAUGCGGUAGGCGGAAUGUAUGGUGUAGCGGUGAAAUGCUUAGAGAUCAUACAGAACACCGAUUGCGAAGGCAGCUUACCAAUCUAUAUCUGACGUUGAGGCACGAAAGCGUGGGGAGCAAACAGGAUUAGAUACCCGUGUAGUC